rnacentral:misc_RNA from 1 species
UUGUUGUGAUGAGCACACUUGGGUGCAUUCACCGGCAGCAUCAGAUAGUUAGGCCCGAGCCUAUACCUCUGAGUAUCCGCAUAAGCAAACACCCUGCACUGAAGCAUCUUAUCAUCAGAGUAAUGGAUUCCAGGCACAACAAGCCCAGGUCCGAAAGCCAGCUGCUCAUUCUCCUGGAAGAAAUUAUCAAUGUUCCGAUUCAGCACCAGCCUCCCCACCGGCUGGAGUGGCAGCAGAUCUUCUGGCCAUGUCUUUGUGUCAUCAAGUGGGUCGAAGUCAUAUAUGUCCUCAUGAUCAGGAUCCAUCACCUGAACAAAUAGCUUCCACUCAGGGAAAUUCCCAGCUGCAAUGGACUCGUAGAGAUCCUGAGUUGCAUGGCUGUGGUUCUUGCCUCCAACAACAACCGCCUCAUCCUCCAGUAAACACUUAACUCCACAUGUGGGUUUCCAGUGGAAUUUCACAUAGUGGGACUUGCCAGCCUUAUUGAUGAAGGUAUAUGUGUUGACACCAAAGCCUUCCAUGUGGCGGUAGUCCGAUGGGACGCCAACAUCAUCAAAGAGGAAGAAGAAGGUGUGCAGGCUCUCUGGGUGGUGGGAGAGGAAGUCGAAGACACGCCAGUACUCCUGAAUGUGGGACUUUGGGUUGGGUUUGAAAGCGUGGAUGACGUCGGGGAACUUGAUGCCAUCGCGAAUGAAGAAAACUGGGAAGUUAUUGCCCAACAGGUCCCAGUUACCCUCUCGGGUGUAGAACUUGACUGCGAAGCCACGGGGAUCACGAAUAGUCUCAGGGCUUCCUCGCUCGUGGAUGACGGUGGAAAAGCGUAGGAUAAUCGGCGUCUGUACUCCCGGAGCUCGGAGAAAGUCGGCACAGGUGAGGCCUGUGACAUCAUGGGUGCACUCAAAGAACCCCUUGGCACUGGCUCCCCUUGCAUGAACAACACGUUCAGGGAUACGCUCCCUAGCGAAGUGUCCCACCUUCUCGAUCAAAUGGUAAUCCUCCAGUAGUAUCGGCCCUCGUGAGCCCACCGUGAGCGCUUGAUCGUCAUUCCACACGGGGGCGCCGGCGUUGGUUGUGGUGUAGGGAGUGUCGAAAGCGCUCGAGGGAACGUGCUUAUAGGGAUCCAUGAUAUGCACAAAAUAAUGAGGCGGAUGUGCACUUGAUCGUCAUUCCACACGGGGGCGCCGGCGUUGGUUGUGGUGUAGGGAGUGUCGAAAGCGCUCGAGGGAACGUGCUUAUAGGGAUCCAUGAUAUGCACAAAAUAAUGAGGCGGAUGUGCA